rnacentral:rRNA from 1 species
GACAGAGGGUGCGAACGUUGCUCGGAAUUACUGGGCGUAAAGCGCGUGUAGGCGGGUGAUCAAGUCGGGUGUGAAAUCCCUGGGCUCAACCCAGGAAUUGCACUCGAAACUGGUUGUCUUGAGUGCUGGAGAGGGAAGCGGAAUUCCUGGUGUAGAGGUGAAAUUCGUAGAUAUCAGGAGGAACACCGGUGGCGAAGGCGGCUUCCUGGACAGUUACUGACGCUGAGACGCGAAAGCGUGGGGAGCAAACAGG